rnacentral:rRNA from 1 species
AAUGAACGUUGGCGACGUGGAUUAGGCAUGCAAGUCGAACGGGCGUAGCAAUACGCCAGUGGCGCAAGGGUGAGUAAGGCGACGGCAAUCAACCCCGAGGAUGGGUAUAGCCGCGGGAAACUGCGGGUAAUCCCCAGCGAUGUGAGGGCGUCGGCAUCGACGCUUCACCAAAAGGAUUCGUCCGCCUCGGGACGAGCCGUCGUGGUAUUAGGUCGUUGGCGGGGUAGCGGCCCACCAAGCCUUCGAUGCCUACCGGGCGUGCGAGCGCGGCCCGGCACACUGGGACUGAGACACUGCCCAGACUCCUACGGGAGGCUGCAGUCGAGAAUCUUCGGCAAUGGGCGCAAGCCUGACCGAGCGACGUCGCGUGGAGGACGAAGGCCUUCGGGUUGUAAACUCCUGUCGAGGGGGAGAAAGGCGUCGCAAGACGCUUGAUCGAUCCCUGGAGGAAGCACGGGCUAAGUUCGUGCCAGCCGCCGCAGUAAUAC